GACGAACGCUGGCGGCGUGCUUAACACAUGCAAGUCGAACGGAAAGGCCCUGCUUUUGUGGGUUUCUCGAUUGGCGAACGCGUGAGUAACACGUGAGUAACCUGCCCUUGUCUUUGGGAUAACUUCAGGAAACUGGGGCUAAUACCGGGUAGAAGCUCCUGCUGCAUGGUGGGGGUUGGAAAGUUUCGGCGGUUGGGGAUGGACUCGCGGCUUAUCAGCUUGUUGGUGGGGUAGUGGCUUACCAAGGCUUUGACGGGUAGCCGGCCUGAGAGGGUGACCGGCCACAUUGGGACUGAGAUACGGCCCAGACUGCUAUGGGAGGCAGCAGUGGGGAAUAUUGCGCAAUGGGCGGAAGCCUGAUGCAGCAACGCCGCGUGCGGGAUGACGGCCUACGGGUUGUAAACCGCUUUCGCCUGUGACGAAGCGUGAGUGACGGUAAUGGGUAAAGAAGCACCGGCUAACUACGUG
rnacentral:rRNA from 1 species